rnacentral:rRNA from 1 species
ACUAAACUUCUUUUAUUAGGGAAGAAACCUCAAGAUGCGUCUUCAGCCUGACGGUACUUAAUGAAUAAGUGAUCGGCUAACUUCUGCUGCCAGCAGCCGCGUGUAAGACGAAGUGAUCCAAGCGUUGUCCGGAUUUACUUGGGUUUAAAGGGUGCGUAUGCGGAAAAUUAAGUCAGUGGUGAAAGCCCGCAGCUCAACUGUGGAACUGCCAUUGAAACUGGUUUUCUUGAAUAUAGCUGAGGCAGAUGGAAUAUAACAUGUAGCGGUGAAAUGCUUAGAUAUGUUAUAGAACACCGAUUGCGAAGGCCAGCUUGCUACACUAUUAUUGACGCUGACGCCCGAAAGCGUGGGGAGCGAACAGGAUUAGAUACCCUGGUAGUCCACGCCCUAAACGUUGAUUACUCGCUGCCGG